UUGGAGGGCAAGUCUGGUGCCAGCAGCCGCGGUAAUUCCAGCUCCAAUAGCGUAUAUUAAAGUUGUUGCAGUUAAAAAGCUCGUAGUUGAAUUUCGGGGUUCUACCGUUGGUCGGGCUUUGUCUGUACUGGUGUGUAGAAUUUCUACCUUCUGGGGAACCAUCAUGCUAUUAAUUUAGCGUGGUGGGAAACCAGGACCUUUACCUUGAAAAAAUUAGUGUGUUCAAAGCAGGCUUAUGUCUGAAUACAUUAGCGUGGAAUAAUAGAAUAGGACGGUGGUCCUGUUUUGUUGGUUUCUGAAUCACCGUAAUGAUUAAUAGGGAUAGUUGGGGGCAUUAGUAUUCAAUUGUCAGAGGUGAAAUUCUUGGAUUUAUUGAAGACUAACUUCUGCGAAAGCAUUUGCCAAGGAUGUUUUCAUUAAUCAAGAACGAAAGUUAGGGGAUCGAAGACGGUCAGAUACCGUCGUAGUCUUAACCAUAAACUAUGCCGACUAGGGAUCGGACGAUGUUAAUUUUUCUUGACUCGUUCGGCGCCUUACGGGAAAC
rnacentral:rRNA from 1 species